rnacentral:lncRNA from 1 species
AUGUGCAAAUGGCUUUGGAGGAAGAGACGACGUAGCUGUACUUGCAGACAACAAUCGACAAAACUUGGAAUGGAUUUUGCUUUUCAAGAAAGCAACGUUGGACUUCAGCAGCACUGCCUGUACAUCCUCAGAGUCGCUUGGACCACUGAGCUACAAACUCUAUGCUUGGACUGACGGAAGGAGAAUUUUGCACUAGUGGAACUGGCAGUGGGAGAACACAGCUGUGCAGUUCGUUCGUCCAUGCUGUCUCUCAGAAAAUGCUGCCAACACACGUCAUGACCUUUUACAUCGUUCGUUUGAUGGAGCGAUUCGCCGUCUCUGCUCGGUAACCACUGACCUCUGAUUGCCUAGGACUGAAGGGUUUUGUCAACGGCAGAAAUAUUCCACGGAUGACUCGCAUGUCCAAUAAUCGUAAGCCGGGAUAAG